rnacentral:rRNA from 1 species
AGCUUGCUCAGAUAUGACGAUGGACAUUGCAAAGAGUGGCGAACGGGUGAGUAACACGUGGGAAACCUACCUCUUAGCAGGGGAUAACAUUUGGAAACAGAUGCUAAUACCGUAUAACAAUAGCAACCGCAUGGUUGCUACUUAAAAGAUGGUUCUGCUAUCACUAAGAGAUGGUCCCGCGGUGCAUUAGUUAGUUGGUGAGGUAAUGGCUCACCAAGACGAUGAUGCAUAGCCGAGUUGAGAGACUGAUCGGCCACAAUGGGACUGAGACACGGCCCAUACUCCUACGGGAGGCAGCAGUAGGGAAUCUUCCACAAUGGGCGAAAGCCUGAUGGAGCAACGCCGCGUGUGUGAUGAAGGGUUUCGGCUCGUAAAACACUGUUGUAAGAGAAGAAUGACAUUGAGAGUAACUGUUCAAUGUGUGACGGUAUCUUACCAGAAAGGAACGGCUAAAUACGUGCCAGCAGCCGCGGUAAUACGUAUGUUCCAAGCGUUAUCCGGAUUUAUUGGGCGUAAAGCGAGCGCAGACGGUUAUUUAAGUCUGAAGUGAAAGCCCUCAGCUCAACUGAGGAAUUGCUUUGGAAACUGGAUGACUUGAGUGCAGUAGAGGAAAGUGGAACUCCAUGUGUAGCGGUGAAAUGCGUAGAUAUAUGGAAGAACACCAGUGGCGAAGGCGGCUUUCUGGACUGUAACUGACGUUGAGGCUCGAAAGUGUGGGUAGCAAACAGGAUUAGAUACCCUGGUAGUCCACACCGUAAACGAUGAGUGCUAG